rnacentral:rRNA from 1 species
CAAUAGCGUAUAUUAAUGUUGUUGCAGUUAAAACGCUCGUAGUUGAAAUGGUGACUUUCAUUAUUAGGACAAAGAGAUUUGAUUCUAUUUGAUAAGUCAUUUUCUAUCUGUUAAUAUCUCUAUUAACAGUUAGACAGUUACCUUGAGGAAAUUAUAGUGCUCCAAGCAGGCAAUCGCUUUGAAUAUUGCAGCAUGGUAUAACACAAUAUGGUUUUCAAGUUUAAUGGCUAAACUUGAUUACAAUCUUUAAUAGGAGCGGUCGAGGGUAUCUGUAUUUAAUAGCUAGAGGUGAAAUUCUAGGAUUUAUUAAAGACAAACAAAUGCGAAGGCAUUUACCAAGGACGUAUCCAUUAA